rnacentral:lncRNA from 1 species
UGAGCGUGACUUGCCAAUCUCGGCUAUGAAUGAUGUUAAACCUUGCGACUCCAAGAAGUGACGAUGUGCAGUGUUUAAUUAAAAUCUAUAAUUAUGUCAAUGCAUGUAAUUUUAGUGACCUGAUGUAUGAGUUGAUUUGUUGCUAAUAUAAAUCAAUAAAGUGUUUAAUUGUGGUUUAAUUCAGUAAAGUUCAGAAAGAUGAAUGUGAGUUUUGUUUUUUUCUUUGUUGUCUCCAGUGAUAAUUAACAUGUCACAUAUCCCCCCGCUCAGUCGCGAUUUUUUGACCGUCCAAGCAGUGGCAGAAGCAAAUUUUUUACAAAGGAGAUCAAAAAAUAUAAAAAUUAAACAUAAAAAAAA